rnacentral:rRNA from 1 species
GACGAACGCUGGCGGCGCGCCUAACACAUGCAAGUCGAACGGGGUCCUUUUAGGAAGCUUGCUUCUUGGCUGGACCUAGUGGCGGACGGGUGAGUAACACGUGAGCAACCUGCCCUGGAGUGGGGGACAACACCUGGAAACGGGUGCUAAUACCGCAUAAUAUCCUUGGAUGGCAUCUUCCGAGGAUCAAAGGAGUCAAAUCCGCUGAAAGAUGGGCUCGCGCCCGAUUAGAUAGUUGGUGAGGUAACGGCUCACCAAGUCAACGAUCGGUAGCCGGACUGAGAGGUUGAACGGCCACAUUGGGACUGAGACACGGCCCAGACUCCUACGGGAGGCAGCAGUGGGGGAUAUUGCACAAUGGGGGAAACCCUGAUGCAGCGACGCCGCGUGAGGGAAGAAGGUUUUCGGAUUGUAAACCUCUGUCUUUGGGGAAGAGUAGAAGACGGUACCCAAGGAGGAAGCCACGGCUAGCUACGUGCCAGCCGCCGCUGUAACAC